UUGGCUUUUUAUUGGCCUAUUAUUUCCUUGCCACAUCAUUAUGUUUUUCCCAAAAUAUUAAAGACCUUAAUAUUCUUCAAGUCUCCAAGUCUCUCAAAAGAGUCUAGCUUGCUUUCUUAAAGUCUAUUGUCCUUACUCUGAAAUGGUUGUGAAAUUUUAACGAGUUUUCACUUCUAAGGAAAUAGGGAUGUCAAAAUCCUAAAGGGACAAAAAUCAUAAAGCAUGCACAUUUACAAAGCUAAGUAAACACAUAAGCAUAUAUGUAAUUCAAUAAAUUAGCACAUAAGUAUGUAGGUAUAUAAGACCACAAAAAAUAUCAAAUGAACACUUGGACAAGCAAUUUUCAAACAAUAUAUUAUACCCAUGCAUUUUCUAAAAUUUUUCUUCGUUGAAAUUUUUAUUUUUAUUUACAUCGUACGAUGCUGAUUUUACCAUUAUCAAGUAAAGGGCCACAUAAACACUUCGCCAAUGGCAGU
rnacentral:lncRNA from 1 species